GCUCUCGAGAUCCGUCGCCUCGCGAGACUGCUCUGCAACAGCGCCGGGUCUCCGCCGUUCCACAAUCACAGCAGCAAGCGUUCUUUCAUCAAGAGUUCGGAAUGGAGUCAGAAAAUUCAACUACUGUAGAGUUCGGAAUGGGAGAAUCAAGUGUCAUCGGAAGUGGAAUUGCGGCCAAUACUGUAAAUCAUCCUAAACCACUACUUGUAAUGAAGUUUAAUAGUUAUGAAGAAGCUUAUAACUAUUAUAACUCUUAUGCAUUGUUGAUGGGUUUUGGAAUAAGGAAGAGAACGGUAAAUUACUCUCGCAAAACUAGAGAAGUGGUAGACAGAAAAGAAAGAAAGGAAGAAACGUAUAUGUAGCAGAUGUGGUGAACUCGGGCAUUAUAGAACUAGCUGUAAAGUCCACGCAAUGCUACUAGAAUCCAGUCAGGUUUAGAACAAGCACAAGAAAAGAAAGAAAGGAAGAAACGUAUAUGUAGCAGAUGUGGUGAACUCGGGCAUUAUAGAACUAACUAUAAAGUCAACUUGCUAAGCUAAAUUCUCGGUGAUGAUUCAAAUUUUCUCGGUAAUGAAGGGCUUAAUAUUUUUGAGGUAAUGAUUUGCAGCAUAUGUUUACACAUAUUUGAAGGGCUGAAUAUAGUUUAAUGCGCUCAAUUCUCGGUAAUGAUUAAAAUUUCUUCUCUUUUAUGCGACUAUCUUGUAAAAUCCGAGUGAAUAGCAUCAAUGGUGGGUGGUUGGAACACAGGUUGAGCAUUCUCUUUUAUGCAGCUAUCUUGUAAUGUGAUUUGGGCUUAUAUUCAGCUACUUUGGUUGUAACUUUGGAGGUUAAGUCUUUCUUUGAUGAAACUCUGUUUGAUGUUGUAACUCAUGAUGUAACUCUGUUUGAUGCUUGUAGCUUUGCUGUAGCUUAUAUUCAGCUAGCUAUAGCUCAAUUCUCUUUUAUGCAGCUAUCUUGUAAUGUGAUUUGAGCUUAUAUGCAGCUAUCUUGUGAUGAUUAUUCAGCUA